rnacentral:lncRNA from 10 species
CUUGGAUGUCGGACACGAAAUCAAAAGAGAUUAUUUUGGAGCUUUAAGUUUUAAUGACUGCCUUGCUGGGAUUCAAACUUGCUUGGGGCCUGUAUCUUCUUUCUUUUGGAUCAUAGAUGGAAGGGACUUGCCUUGUCUCAGACAGGACUUGGGACUUUUGAGUCAAUGCUGGAAACAGUUAAGAAUUUAGGGGACUGUUGGGAAGGCAUGAUACCAUUUUGAAAUGUCAAAAGGGCAUGAGAUUUGCGAGGGCCAGAGCAGAAUGAUGUACUUUUCAGAAUGAUAUCCCCCAAAUAUCAUGUUGAAUUGUAAUCCCCAAUGCUGUGGUGAGGUCUUGUGGGAGGUGUUUGGAUCAUGGAGGCAGAUCUCUCAUGACUUGGUACUUACUUCAUGAUAGUGAGUUCUCAUGGGAUCUAGUCCUUCAAAAGUGUGUGGCACCUCCUCUGCUCACUCUCUUUCUUGCUCCUGCUUUUACCAUGUGACGUGCCAGCUCUCCCUUUACCUUCCGCCAUGUUUGGAAGCUUCCUGAGGCCUUCCCAGAAGCAGAUGCCAGUAUGCUGCCUGUACAACCUGCAGAACUAUUCAUUUGGAAGUGGUUGAGUGGGUGACUGAAGAAUCUCAGUGGAAUUUUUAAGCCUACCAAAAAAAACAGCUUUACUGGGUCAAAAAUUACUCAGGGGAAAAUGAAAGCAGUCAAAAGAGAAUUUCCUGAUGCUCCCACCAUCAAAUCCAUCAGCAUGCCUGCAUCUGAAAUCACAUUCUUUGCUUUCCUUCCUUUGAGAGUGGCUGGUCUGUCAGUAAUUCUAGCAAAGACCACACCACAUCCUAACCUCUUACCAGAGAGCAUUUUCCUGAAAAUGACCAUUUCUGCAUUCCCCCUUAUGUUUUCCCCUAUACUGAAUCAUUCCGGUUAUCAUUUGUUUCAAAUGAAGAAUUAUAAUUCAAGUAUUUCUUUUAGUGCAAUGAGUGAGAGAUAAAGAUUACAUUUAACAUUAAGAUUGGUUCAGAACAUAAAAGUUCUUUUUGCACCGUGUUGGAAACUAUUGAAGUACUAUCUUCACAGCGUAACCCUCCGUACAUGCACUUCAUUGCUCCUCAAUUUUUCUGCCUUUCUCCAACACAAUACCUGAUACUUCCCUACUUUCUAUUCUCUUGUAUCCUUAUUUUUUCCUAAUUGAGAGAGAACAGUGAUGAUAAUUAAACAAUUGAGUGGAAACCAAUUCCUGCGAUAGUGCUAGAUGCUUAAUAGGUAACAUCUUCUGCUCGAGUUACUGAGACUUCACCUACUUUGAAGCUACUGAUCUCAAAGAAGCUUAAGGAAUAAUUAUGGAGGAGAUAAUUUUAGGUAAAUUUGAAUUUAUAAGGAAAUGUUGUCCAGGAAAAUUAUAGGGUCCAUUUUUUACCAGGCUUGAGACAUAUUUGGUACAGAGAAUAUUAGGGAGUGGUUAGUCAGAAUGGCUGCUUUGGAAAAUGAAUUUAACUGUAAGAAGUCUGUUGAGUACAUAUAACAGUGGAAUAAAAUGGUGGUGGAGGUGAAAGAUCAGUUCAUAUGAUACAUUUUGACUUCAAAUUUCUAGUCUCUGAGGAUUAAGAAGGUACCAGUGAAGAAAGGUUUGAUUUUCAAAGAGAAGCAGCCAAUGUCCCAUGACACCAUUAAUAAAAUAGAUAACACUUUAGAGUGUGCAAAGUUCAUUUAUUUUGAUUAUCUAAUUCAAAAGUGACACAACCUUAUGAGGUAGCAAUUGCUAUACUUUAAUAAGGAAUGGAAACUAAGAGAAAUUAAGUAAGAUUUACCUUGGAUUUCCAAGGUAAUCCAAUAAGUGAGUCAAACCCAGGCUAUAGGUAAAGAAAUUGGCCACUCAGUACUACAAUAUGUAUGUUCACCAUUGUAGAGUGCGGCUGUCUUUUGAAAAAUGGCCCUUAGUGAAACAUGCUGUCCAGUAUUCACUUUUUUGUAUAGUUUUUAACCAAAAUAAAUGAGGGCUUGCCCUGUGUAAAUGAUAGAAUGUGGCGUGUUUCUUUUUCUCUAGGAAUGUGUAGUCUGUAGGAAGCCAACUUUUUGAACAUGAAGUUCAAGCACUCUGAGGACUCUAAGUUUGAGGAAGCCCAAGAUAGCCAUAUGGAGAGUCCACAAAAAGAAAAAGAGCUAUAGUGUCUGCUCUUUUAGCAAUCCCACCUGAGGUGUCAGACAUGUGAAUGAAGAUACUUUCUUGGUUGUCCAGUCUAGUUGAACUUUCAGAUGACUCUAGAUUUUGCUACUAUCUGACCGACACUCCAGGAGAUAUCUCAAGGGAGAAAUAACCAGUUGAGCUCAGUCAACACAAAUUACCAUAAAUAAUUAUUUUGGUUUCCAAGUUUGGGGGUGACUUUUUGUGUAGCAUUAGAUAAACAAAACCCUGCUUAUCUCCAAAGUUGGGGAAGGGGAGAAAUAAAAGAAUCACAUAAGGUAAAUAAGGGGCAUUGUUUUGCAAACUUUGAAAAAUACUAUAUACAAUGCAUGGAUGUAGUGAAAUACAUAGAGACUCAGAAGUCAUAAGCCCUGAGUUUGAAACCUCUUGAGAUUUUCUCACUCUGUGACUCUUGGAUAAAUCACACUCAAUUUCUCCUAGUCUAAAUGUGAUUAUCAAUAAAAUUAUGUUAAUAAAGCCUUGCUCUGUUUAGAGUCUUAGGUGAGAAAAUGUGGUUUGUAAAUGAUUUUGUGAAUUUUAUAAAAUUAUACAGAUAUAUUUCGUAUUGCUAUUAUUAUAAUUAAAAAUACAGAGUCAGGAUAAUUUCAUCCUGUGCACAAGAGGCAGA